rnacentral:lncRNA from 1 species
UGCAGGCACAGGAGUGGCUGUAGGACCCAUCACCAGCUGGCGAUCCCAUGGCUGGGGGUAAAUCACAGUGUGUCCAGGAGCAAAAUGCCCAGUUUGGAGGCUGAGGGAGCUCCUUGGCUCUGCUUUGCUGCUGCAGGCAGUAUUGGUGGGUAUGAUCCUGCUCGGCAGAGAGGUGCCACUGUCUUUGAGUGGAUGGGUCUUCCCCAACUGCCCCUCCCAGGGACCACGGGAUUUUUUACUAAAUGCUACUUUAUUUCCCCAGACUCCUUGCAAGAAGGAACAUCUCCACUUUGCAGCAGAGUUGGACUAAAGUUGGACUCAUGGGUCAGGUGAGAAAAUGGGAGACGGCUCCUCAGCUUAGAGUGGGAUACUGUAUAACCCUUUCUGGUUUGGGGAUCACUAUAUUCUACUUUAUUUUGGAUGCACAAAUAUGUGAUGGCGAUGGCUGCAGGCUGUGUUUCAAGUCCUUGAAGAAAGCAAUAUGUUUCCUCCUCCCUCCUGCCGGAGCCUGAGCUGCAGUGUUCUGCAGCUGGGGGAAUGACCAUGUUUGUGUCUGUCAUCAAUUCCACAGUCUGUUAUUUAAAUUACAAAGCUCAUUCUUUGCAUCAGUGUAUGCACAGCAAGUUAGCAAUCUAUGCAUAAAGUCCCAGCAGGCAAUGAUUGUCUCCUAAGGAAGGCAGAAGUGAAGACAGCCCACUGGAUUGACAGAAAUAUCACUGAACUCAGAUGCAUUCCUGGAACAAUUGGUUUCCUUUCGAAGAAAGUUGCCGUUAACACUGUUGCGACUGAGCAUAGGGUGGUAUCUUCAGGACACUGGCAGCAUACACUGCAGUCCCUCGAAUGUGCAAGACUGAGCUGUGCUGGUCCUUCCUCCAACCCUGGAGCACCUCCAAGAGUGACCCCCUGCCUCACCAAUGCCUGCUGGAGCCAGUGGAGCUGGAGCUGUUUACCUGUGAGGAGGUGGAGACAGCGAGAGCACCUUCAGUCCUCCAAAGACGAAUGUGGCUUUAGCUAA